CUUUUUAACACCUUGAUGUUUUGAAAUUUUUUAUGUAAGCUUUAGUUGUAGGUGUGUGGGAGACAUAAUUCUACCAAGGAUUUUCCAUUCCUCCAAUCUACCACAUGUCAUACACAAUCCCAGGGUCUGUGAACGUGAUAGGUUUUACUCCUAGGACUACGUUAUACUUACGGCACAAUUGACCUUAAGAAAGGAAGAUAAUUAGUGAGUCUGAACUGGUUGCACAAGCCCUUUAAAAACCUAGUGUUUCUGGCCAGCUACAGAAAAGCAAGUCAGACAUUGGGAGCACAAAAAUGAUUCAACAUUAUGUCAUUUCUGGCUUGAAGAUGGACAGAGUCACAUGGCAAGAAAUGUGCUGCUGCACAUUCUGAGGACACUGCCAUGAAUGCUGCUGUUCAAGAUCCCCUCCCUAACAGAGCUUACAUGCUAGAGAAGAGAAAAAUCAAACAAGUAAAAUACAAGGCAUCUGCAGAUGACCCUGUGCUACCACUCAAAGCAUCUACGACCAGGGAAGAACAAUAGAAGCUUACCUUGCAUUGGAUGACCAGCAUGCUUUAAGAAUUAAAGAAGGGGGAGAUGUAGGAGGUGCAUGGCAACAUAUUCAAGCUUAUGUACAUGGCAUUUGAGGUUGGGAUGUGGAAAAUUACUGAUACACUCUAUGUUAUUUGUGCCUGGGAAUGAAACUCCUUGACCCUGAAAGCAGGAAGAGUGUGUGGUGUGAUAAUGAACACUGAAAGCCUCCUGAGGAUGCAGUUUGAGUGUGUACCAGGUCACAGGUGCCUCAACAACCCACCUCAAAUGACCAUCUAGUGGAUGUGUGUAGUUAAUACAAACCCUUUC
rnacentral:lncRNA from 13 species